rnacentral:rRNA from 1 species
ACGGUUACCUUGUUACGACUUCACCCCAGUCAUCCGGCCUGCCUUCGACGGCUCCCUUCUUUCGAUCGGGCCACCGGCUUCGGGCAUUCCCGACUCCCAUGGUGUGACGGGCGGUGUGUACAAGACCCGGGAACGUAUUCACCGCGGCAUUCUGAUCCGCGAUUACUAGCGAUUCCAGCUUCAUGCACUCGAGUUGCAGACUGCAAUCCGAACUGGGACGUUAUUUUUGGGAUUCGCUUACCCUCGCAGGCUCGCUUCCCUUUGUUUACGCCAUUGUAGCACGUGUGUAGCCCAAGCCAUAAGGGGCAUGAUGAUUUGACGUCAUCCCCGCCUUCCUCCCGGUUCUCCCGGGCAGUCCCUCCUGAGUUCCCAUCCUGAAUGCUGGCUACAGAAGGCAGGGGUUGCGCUCGUUGCGGGACUUAACCCAACAUCUCACGACACGAGCUGACGACAACCAUGCACCACCUGUCUCGGAUGUCCCGA